rnacentral:rRNA from 1 species
GACAGCAGCAGCCGCGGGAAUACGGAGGGGGCUAGCGUUGUUCGGAAUUACUGGGCGUAAAGCGCACGUAGGCUGCUUUGUAAGUCAGAGGUGAAAGCCCGGGGCUCAACCCCGGAUGUGCCUUUGAGACUGCAGGGCUAGAACGUCGGAGAGGUGAGUGGAAUUCCGAGUGUAGAGGUGAAAUUCGUAGAUAUUCGGAAGAACACCAGUGGCGAAGGCGGCUCACUGGACGACUGUUGACGUUGAGGUGCGAAAGCGUGGGGAGCAAACAGGAUUAGAUACCCCGGUAGUCCCUGUCUCUUAUAA